ensembl:ncRNA lncRNA:CR45296 long non-coding RNA:CR45296
ACAGCCCAACUUAACUUUUGAAACAAUGUCAAAUACAAUAAACGUGUGUGUGUGUGUGUGGAGUGUUAACCGCAUUGUUUGAAUGCAGCGCUGGCGAACAAUGUACAUUGCACAUGCAGGAGCACAGGGAUGUAACAUGCAGUACAUAAGUACGCAGAUAUGUACGUAUAAAUUAUGCGAGAUACGGGUUGGUUGGUUGGUUGGUUGGCCCACAAACUUGUCACACCCACACGAGCGCGUACAAUAACAAAUAGUGGCACACUCAGUUGGAUUGCAAAAGACGCAGCAGAAAUAGAACAAAAGCAAUAUAAUUAAUCAUCGAAGAGCAGGCCAAGCAGAAACAGCAUGCUGUUGAGGCAGCAGUCGAGCAGUAGGAACAGACACACAGAAACUGAAACAGAAGCAGAAACAGCAUCCCGCCAUCAGGAUCACAUCUAGAAUUAGAGCCCUCCCUCGUGGCAAGUCUUGGAAGGACAUUUGCGGGGCAAAUAUUGUUGC